GACCAUGUUGUUGAAGUUGUUGAAGAGACUUUGAAAGGUCAUAAGGUGUGGCUCUUACAUUGCAAAACACUGCCAGCUCUUGAACUUCCGAAGGUGCUAGCACUUAUUGCAAGACAAAGCAUGCUCGAGGCCAUUUAGCUAGCUACACUGUUGACAGUCCUGUCAGUUGUGUGAGAACUGUAAUAACUGAUGGAGUUGAGGAGAUAUGGUUGGGCAGCGAAGAUACUGGAGCAUAUGGUCGUGACAUUGGGGUUAACCUUCCAAUUGUAUUGAAUGCUCUUGUUGCAGCAUUUCCUCCUGAUGGAAGUGCAAUGCUUCGAAUAGGAAUGACCAAUCCUCCUUUUAUUCUUGAGCACUUGAAAGAAAUAGCCGAAGUUUUGCGUCACCCAUGUGUAUACUCCUUUCUUGAUGUACCAGUCCAAUCUGGGAGUGAGGCUGUCUUGACGGCAAUGAAUCGGGAAUAUACUGUUAGUGACUUCAGGACAGUGGUAGGUACCUUGACCGCACUUGUGGCAGGGAUGCAGAUUGCAACUGAUAUAAUUUGUGGAUUCUCUGGUUAGUAUUUCUUCAUCAUUGUCCCUUCUUUUGUGUGUGUUGAAAUUCUUUGACUUGUAAAUGUUGAAGUGAAAUAAACAGGGUGUUGACUCCUUUUAAAUGGUAAAUUGUUUAUCUACUUUGUGCAAUGACCGGCUGUGUCUCAUUUUAAUUCCCAUAUUGUAUCUCUGUGUGGCACUAGCAAUAUUUACUGUCAGGGGAGCAUCAAUUAUAAAACAUCUCUGCCUUACUGACUCCUUUGGUAUUGGAAUUAUUAAUGUAUGAUUCAAAAUUUUGGGAACUGGUGCAAGACGUUUUGGAAUUAUUUAUUUAUUCUUCUUUGUA